GACUCAGGAUGGGGUCAUGGCUGAGACUAUGAGGGCUGCUCGUGCAUGACCCUGCCUGCUGGCCUCCAUGGGCCCACUAUCUGAAUGUGGUUACCCUUCUCCCCAGGACCAGGUGCCACCUCCUCUGGGAAGCUUUCCCUGCCCGUCCACAGGGUAUGCCUCCUUGUUCCUCUCCUGCCAUCGGUUUACGUGCCUGUCUCCAUCAACAGACCAGGAGCUCCUGAGGACAGGGACUGAGUCUGCCUGAUUCAUCUCUGCAUUCCUAGCACUUACCUUGGUGCUUAGUGAAAGCUCGAACCUGCCUGGGUUCCCACCUUGUCUCUGCUACCCCCAGCUCUGUGAACUCAGAGUCAUUUUUCUCUCCCCGAGUGGCACCGGGCUCAGCAGACACUCUGGCCAUGAAGGCAUCUUCUGACUCAAGCAGGUCUAGAUGUCUACCCCCAAGGAAUCCCAGAACAGUUGAUCUCUCUUUUUAUUUUUUUAUUUUUUGAGAUGGAGUUUUGCUCUUGUUGCCCAGGCUGGAGUGCAAUGGCGUGAUCUCGGCUCACUGCAACCUCUGCCUCCCAGGUUCAAGCAAUUCUCCUGCCUCAGCCUCCCGAGUAGCUGGGAUUAUAGGCAUGCACCACCACGCCCAGCUCCUGCCUCUGUGAGUCACCCCCCCAAGUGCUCUGCCUGCAGCCACUUGCCCUGGCAGGAAGACCCUUGGGCAGGCCCCACCAUGGCUCCACUCUGGAAUGCUGGGCACUUUGCCCCACUACGCUCUACAAAGGCAUCCCUUCCUUCUGGGCAGAUAUAAAACACAGAGGGGCCCAGAUCUCAGGCCAGCCUGAACUGAGCUUCUCUGCAGGAUGAUCUCCUCACCAGAACCCCUGGACAGGAGGGUCUGCCAGAUCCCAGGAAGGAGAUGUGUGAAGCCAGCCUUGGUGACACUCCUGGGCCCCAUCCAGUCAGUUAUGAAAAGUCUCUGCUGCUAAACUCAUCUGCCUCAGCCUGUCUCUGGCCUGUCUUCUUUCUUUCUGCAUUUCUUCCUUUUAAAAAAGUUUAUUGCUCUUUUCUAAUGUUAAAAGUAACACAUACUGAUUGCAGAAAAUCCAGAAAAGCACAAAGAAAAAAAUUAAAAUCACUCGUAAUGUCAA
rnacentral:lncRNA from 1 species